rnacentral:sRNA from 2 species
AUUAACAGCUUCUAGGGUUCCGGUUUGAAUUAUUCAAAUGCUGGUCCGAGAGAAGCAAGCUGGCUCAUCUAAGCUCUCUCCUUUCUAAAGUAUUAGAUGAAUCGGUUACACGGCGGGAGAAAAGCCCGGGAGAA